AACGAACGCUGGCGGCGUGCCUAACACAUGCAAGUCGAACGAGAAAGGGGCUUCGGCUCCGAGUAAAGUGGCGCACGGGUGAGUAACACGUGGGUAACCUGCCUCUAAGAUUGGGAUAACUCGUCGAAAGAUGAGCUAAUACCGAAUAAGACCACAGUUUCUGCGGGGACAGGGGUCAAAGGUAGCCUCUGCUUGCAAGCUAUCACUUAGAGAUGGGCCUGCGCACCAUUAGCUAGUUGGUAGGGUAACGGCCUACCAAGGCAAAGAUGGUUAGCUGGGAUGAGAGGAUGAUCAGCCCCACUGGAACUGAGACACGGUCCAGACUCCUACGGGAGGCAGCAGUGGGGAAUAUUGCGCAAUGGGCGAAAGCCUGACGCAGCAACGCCGCGUGAGUGAUGAAGGCCUUCGGGUCGUAAAGCUCUGUCGGAAGGAACGAAUGCUCCUGAGGUUAAUAGCCUCAGGAGGUGACGGUGCCUUCAAAGGAAGCACCGGCUAACUCUGUGCCAGCCGCCGCCGUAACAC
rnacentral:rRNA from 1 species